AAUAAAUACAAGAAUGCAGAGGAGAACAUCUUGUACAAUGGGUCUUCUUUAAAACGCACGGAUAAAUGCCGCGCAUUAUGUCAUUAUUUUUACGCAAGAAGCAUACUAAGCAGCAAGGAAACAAAAUUGAUCGGUGGUAGAUUGGAAAAUAUCCUAAUUGCCUUGCAUUGACGCGGCGAUACUGUCGCGCGAGCGGAGAUGUAUGUGGGCAAUCCGAUGCCGGUACCAUUGAGAGCAAAUUCUUUGACGAGGUAAAAAUAUAAAUACAAACACUCGUUUACGUAUUCAACGCGUGAGCACCAGCGAGGGGUGUUUUUUUCGCGAAAAGCGGCGGAUAAUUAAGCGACGAAUGCGAAAGAGGCAGCUGCUAAAUUGCGAGCCCGUGAGUUGCGAAUAUCCUUGAGUUUAUCUUUGAUUUUUGAAAAAUCACGUAUGAAUUAAAGAAUGCUAUAAAUCUAGUCCUCGAAAUUUUGCUACGAUGAAAUACUGUAAAA